GGGUUGUGAGGUUAAGCGACUAAGCGUACACGGUGGAUGCCCUGGCAGUCAGAGGCGAUGAAGGACGUGCUAAUCUGCGAUAAGCGUCGGUGAGGUGAUAUGAACCGUUAUAACCGGCGAUUUCCGAAUGGGGAAACCCAGUGUGUUUCGACACACUAUCAUUAACUGAAUCCAUAGGUUAAUGAGGCGAACCGGGGGAACUGAAACAUCUAAGUACCCCGAGGAAAAGAAAUCAACCGAGAUUCCCCCAGUAGCGGCGAGCGAACGGGGAGGAGCCCAGAGCCUGAAUCAGUGUGUGUGUUAGUGGAAGCGUCUGGAAAGGCGCGCGAUACAGGGUGACAGCCCCGUACACAAAAAUGCACAUAUUGUGAGCUCGAUGAGUAGGGCGGGACACGUGGUAUCCUGUCUGAAUAUGGGGGACCAUCCUCCAAGGCUAAAUACUCCUGACUGACCGAUAGUGAACCAGUACCGUGAGGGAAAGGCGAAAAGAACCCCGGCGAGGGGAGUGAAAAAGAACCUGAAACCGUGUACGUACAAGCAGUGGGAGCCUCUUAAUGGGGUGACUGCGUACCUUUUGUAUAAUGGGUCAGCGACUUAUAUUCUGUAGCAAGGUUAACCGAAUAGGGGAGCCGAAGGGAAACCGAGUCUUAACUGGGCGUUAAGUUGCAGGGUAUAGACCCGAAACCCGGUGAUCUAGCCAUGGGCAGGUUGAAGGUUGGGUAACACUAACUGGAGGACCGAACCGACUAAUGUUGAAAAAUUAGCGGAUGACUUGUGGCUGGGGGUGAAAGGCCAAUCAAACCGGGAGAUAGCUGGUUCUCCCCGAAAGCUAUUUAGGUAGCGCCUCGUGAAUUCAUCUCCGGGGGUAGAGCACUGUUUCGGCAAGGGGGUCAUCCCGACUUACCAACCCGAUGCAAACUGCGAAUACCGGAGAAUGUUAUCACGGGAGACACACGGCGGGUGCUAACGUCCGUCGUGAAGAGGGAAACAACCCAGACCGCCAGCUAAGGUCCCAAAGUCAUGGUUAAGUGGGAAACGAUGUGGGAAGGCCCAGACAGCCAGGAUGUUGGCUUAGAAGCAGCCAUCAUUUAAAGAAAGCGUAAUAGCUCACUGGUCGAGUCGGCCUGCGCGGAAGAUGUAACGGGGCUAAACCAUGCACCGAAGCUGCGGCAGCGACACUGUGUGUUGUUGGGUAGGGGAGCGUUCUGUAAGCCUGUGAAGGUGGCCUGUGAGGGUUGCUGGAGGUAUCAGAAGUGCGAAUGCUGACAUAAGUAACGAUAAAGCGGGUGAAAAGCCCGCUCGCCGGAAGACCAAGGGUUCCUGUCCAACGUUAAUCGGGGCAGGGUGAGUCGACCCCUAAGGCGAGGCCGAAAGGCGUAGUCGAUGGGAAACAGGUUAAUAUUCCUGUACUUGGUGUUACUGCGAAGGGGGGACGGAGAAGGCUAUGUUGGCCGGGCGACGGUUGUCCCGGUUUAAGCGUGUAGGCUGGUUUUCCAGGCAAAUCCGGAAAACCAAGGCUGAGGCGUGAUGACGAGGCACUACGGUGCUGAAGCGACAAAUGCCCUGCUUCCAGGAAAAGCCUCUAAGCAUCAGGUAACAUCAAAUCGUACCCCAAACCGACACAGGUGGUCAGGUAGAGAAUACCAAGGCGCUUGAGAGAACUCGGGUGAAGGAACUAGGCAAAAUGGUGCCGUAACUUCGGGAGAAGGCACGCUGAUAUGUAGGUGAAGCGACUUGCUCGUGGAGCUGAAAUCAGUCGAAGAUACCAGCUGGCUGCAACUGUUUAUUAAAAACACAGCACUGUGCAAACACGAAAGUGGACGUAUACGGUGUGACGCCUGCCCGGUGCCGGAAGGUUAAUUGAUGGGGUUAGCGGUAACGCGAAGCUCUUGAUCGAAGCCCCGGUAAACGGCGGCCGUAACUAUAACGGUCCUAAGGUAGCGAAAUUCCUUGUCGGGUAAGUUCCGACCUGCACGAAUGGCGUAAUGAUGGCCAGGCUGUCUCCACCCGAGACUCAGUGAAAUUGAACUCGCUGUGAAGAUGCAGUGUACCCGCGGCAAGACGGAAAGACCCCGUGAACCUUUACUAUAGCUUGACACUGAACAUUGAGCCUUGAUGUGUAGGAUAGGUGGGAGGCUUUGAAGUGUGGACGCCAGUCUGCAUGGAGCCGACCUUGAAAUACCACCCUUUAAUGUUUGAUGUUCUAACGUGGGCCCCUAAUCGGGGUUGCGGACAGUGUCUGGUGGGUAGUUUGACUGGGGCGGUCUCCUCCUAAAGAGUAACGGAGGAGCACGAAGGUUGGCUAAUCCUGGUCGGACAUCAGGAGGUUAGUGCAAUGGCAUAAGCCAGCUUGACUGCGAGCGUGACGGCGCGAGCAGGUGCGAAAGCAGGUCAUAGUGAUCCGGUGGUUCUGAAUGGAAGGGCCAUCGCUCAACGGAUAAAAGGUACUCCGGGGAUAACAGGCUGAUACCGCCCAAGAGUUCAUAUCGACGGCGGUGUUUGGCACCUCGAUGUCGGCUCAUCACAUCCUGGGGCUGAAGUAGGUCCCAAGGGUAUGGCUGUUCGCCAUUUAAAGUGGUACGCGAGCUGGGUUUAGAACGUCGUGAGACAGUUCGGUCCCUAUCUGCCGUGGGCGCUGGAGAACUGAGGGGGGCUGCUCCUAGUACGAGAGGACCGGAGUGGACGCAUCACUGGUGUUCGGGUUGUCAUGCCAAUGGCACUGCCCGGUAGCUAAAUGCGGAAGAGAUAAGUGCUGAAAGCAUCUAAGCACGAAACUUGCCCCGAGAUGAGUUCUCCCUGAGACUUAGAGUCUCCUGAAGGAACGUUGAAGACGACGACGUUGAUAGGCCGGGUGUGUAAGCGCAGCGAUGCGUUGAGCUAACCGGUACUAAUGAACCGUGAGGCUUAACCUUACAACGCCGAAG
rnacentral:rRNA from 1 species